AUUGAACGCUGGCGGCAGGCCUAACACAUGCAAGUCGAACGAGCGGCGGACGGGUGAGUAAUGUCUGGGGAACUGCCUGAUGGAGGGGGAUAACUACUGGAAACGGUAGCUAAUACCGCAUACUAUCUGAUGAACCCAUAUGGGAUUAGCUUGUUGGUGGGGUAACGGCUCCCCUGGGCGACGAUCCCUAGCUGGUCUGAGAGGAUGACCAGCCGCACUGGAACUGAGACACGGCCCAGACUCCUACGGGAGGCAGCAGUGGGGAAUAUUGCACAAUGGGCGCAAGCCUGAUGCAGCCAUGCCGCGUGUAUGAAGAAGGCCUUAGGGUUGUAAAGUACUUUCAGCGGGGAGGCGUUACCCGCAGAAGAAGCACCGGCUAACUCCGUGCCAGCAGCCGCGGUAAUAC
rnacentral:rRNA from 1 species